rnacentral:tRNA from 1 species
GCCAGAGUAGCUCAGUUGGUAGAGCACCGCUUUCGUAAAGCGGGGGUCGCCGGUCCGAUCCCGGCCUCUGGCU